CGGCCGCGGUAUUUUGACCGUGCAAAGGUAGCGCAAUCACUUGUCUUUUAAAUAGAGACCUGUAUGAAUGGCUAAACGAGGGCUUAACUGUCUCCCCUUUCAAGUCAGUGAAAUUGAUCUACCCGUGCAGAAGCGGGUAUAAUACUACAAGACGAGAAGACCCUUUGGAGCUUAAGGUACAAAACUCAACCACGUUAAGCAACUCAAUAAAAAGCAAAAACCUUGUGGAUCAUGAGAUUUUACCUUCGGUUGGGGCGACCACGGAGGAAAGAAAAGCCUCCAGGUGGACUGGGAAAACCUCCUAAAACCAAGAGAGACAUCUCUAAGCCACAGAACAUCUGACCAAAUAUGAUCCGGCUAACACAUAGCCGAUCAACGAACCAAGUUACCCUAGGGAUAACAGCGCAAUCCUCUCCCAGAGUCCAUAUCGACGAGGGGGUUUACGACCUCGAUGUUGGAUCAGGACAUCCUAAUGGUGCAGCCGCUAUUAAGGGUU
rnacentral:rRNA from 1 species